rnacentral:rRNA from 1 species
AACGAACGCUGGCGGCAGGCUUAACACAUGCAAGUCGAACGCCCCGCAAGGGGAGUGGCAGACGGGUGAGUAACGCGUGGGAAUCUACCUAGUUCUACGGAACAACAGAGGGAAACUUCUGCUAAUACCGUAUAGGCCCUAAGGGGGAAAGACUUAUCGGAAUUAGAUGAGCCCGCGUAAGAUUAGCUAGUUGGUGGGGUAAUGGCCUACCAAGGCGACGAUCUUUAGCUGGUCUGAGAGGAUGAUCAGCCACACUGGGACUGAGACACGGCCCAGACUCCUACGGGAGGCAGCAGUGGGGAAUAUUGGACAAUGGGCGCAAGCCUGAUCCAGCCAUGCCGCGUGAGUGAUGAAGGCCCUAGGGUUGUAAAGCUCUUUCAGUGGGGACGAUAAUGACGGUACCCACAGAAGAAGCCCCGGCUAACUUCGUGCCAGCCGCCGCCGUAAUAC